GCAAGUCGAGCGCACUCUUCGGGGGAGCGGCGGACGGGUGAGUAACGCGUGGGAAUCUACCCUAUGGUGGAGGAUAACCCCGGGAAACCGGGGCUAAUACUGCAUAUGGUCUACGGAUCAAAGACUUCGGUCGCCAAAGGAUGAGCCCGCGUCCCAUUAUUUAAUCCUGGUUGGUGGGGUAACGGCCUACCAAGGGUACGAUGGGUAGCUGGUCUGAGAGGACGAUC
rnacentral:rRNA from 1 species